rnacentral:rRNA from 1 species
AUGUGUAAUGCAGUUGUGCAUGAUCUUUCAUACUGCCUACUUGAACAUUGUUUUGUUUGUCAUGGUGGAGCAUGCAUGGUUUAUACAAAGCUUUUGCUCCAUGUCAAUUUUUCUUUUGCAGUAAUUUGUCAGUCAGUGAAGGGGAGCCUUGGCGCAGUGGUAAAGCUGCUGCCUUGUGACCAAGAGGUCACGGGUUCAAGUCCUGGAAACAGCCUCUUACAGAAAUGUAGGGAAAGGCUGCGUACUAUAGACCCAAAGUGGUCGGACCCUUCCCCGGACCCUGCGCAAGCGGGAGCUACAUGCACCGGGCUGCCCUUUUUUAGUAAUUUGUCAGUCAGUCAUUAG